rnacentral:rRNA from 1 species
UACGAAGGGGGCUAGCGUUGCUCGGAAUCACUGGGCGUAAAGCGCGCGUAGGCGGAUUGCUAAGUCAGGGGUGAAAUCCUGGAGCUCAACUCCAGAACUGCCUUUGAUACUGGCGACCUUGAGUCCGGGAGAGGUGAGUGGAACUGCGAGUGUAGAGGUGAAAUUCGUAGAUAUUCGCAAGAACACCAGUGGCGAAGGCGGCUCACUAGCCCGGUACUGACGCUGAGGUGCGAAAGCGUGGGGAGCAAACAGG